GAUGAACGCUGGCGGCGUGCCUAAUACAUGCAAGUCGAGCGAACAGAUGAGGAGCUUGCUCCUCUGACGUUAGCGGCGGACGGGUGAGUAACACGUGGAUAACCUACCUAUAAGACUGGGAUAACUUCGGGAAACCGGAGCUAAUACCGGAUAAUAAUUUGAACCGCAGGGUUCAAAAGUGAAAGACGGUUUUGCUGUCACUUAUAGAUGGAUCCGCGCUGCAUUAGCUAGUUGGUAAGGUAACGGCUUACCAAGGCAACGAUGCGUAGCCGACCUGAGAGGGUGAUCGGCCACACUGGAACUGAGACACGGUCCAGACUCCUACGGGAGGCAGCAGUAGGGAAUCUUCCGCAAUGGGCGAAAGCUUGACGGAGCAACGCCGCGUGAGUGAUGAAGGUCUUCGGAUCGUAAAACUCUGUUAUUAGGGAAGAACAAAUGUGUAAGUAACUAUGCACGUCUUGACGGUACCUAAUCAGAAAGCCACGGCUAACUACGUG
rnacentral:rRNA from 1 species